rnacentral:rRNA from 1 species
GUGGGGAAUAUUGGACAAUGGGCGCAAGCCUGAUCCAGCCAUGCCGCGUGAGUGAUGAAGGCCCUAGGGUUGUAAAGCUCUUUCGACGGGGACGAUAAUGACGGUACCCGUAGAAGAAGCCCCGGCUAACUUCGUGCCAGCAGCCGCGGUAAUACGAAGGGGGCUAGCGUUGUUCGGAAUCACUGGGCGUAAAGCGCACGUAGGCGGAUCGUUAAGUCGGGGGUGAAAUCCCAGGGCUCAACCCUGGAACUGCCUUCGAUACUGGCGAUCUUUGAGUCCGGGAGAGGUGAGUGGAACUCCGAGUGUAGAGGUGAAAUUCGUAGAUAUUCGGAAGAACACCAGUGGCGAAGGCGGCUCACUGGCCCGGUACUGACGCUGAGGUGCGAAAGCGUGGGGAGCAAACAGGAUUAGAAACCCCGGUAGUCC